AGUCUGUUCGCAGAGAUCCUCGCCGUGCAACAGAAACUGCAUAGCGCGAUACUCGAGCAUCAGACAAGCGUGGAAAAGCUGAAGAAUGAUCCAAAUAAUCAAAGCAUUCUCGGCCAGAUAAAGAAAAUUCAGGUGCACAUCGUAACUUUGGGAAAAUGCCAGGUAAGCGCGGACAAUUGACUUUUUGUGUCGCAUGCACAUAGUUGAUUCGCGAUGGCAUCUAUACAUCGUCGUUUCUUCUCAAGUUACGAGGCCCUGCAAUUUCAUGAUCAAUCUCUCGGUAGAUCGAUCCUGCGAUUUUGAGUAUGAAAAUGCAACUAAAGUUAAACGCGUUUGCGACGAUUAAGAAUGAUUGCGCUUUGAAGACCGACAAUUCCUUUUCUUCGUAUGCAUAGAUAUAUGUAUUAGCUAUAAAAUCCCAGAAAGAUUCCGUGUAAGUUACAUUAUCGAUCAGGGCUAUUAUUGAUCCGAGGUGUUGGCAACUGCAUAGCAAAAACUUUGGCAUGCCUUGUCUAACUUUUACAAAGUACGACUCUUUAUCGUGCCGCGGUAUCAUUCGCGUGUGGUGCCGACUGCAAAACGACUAAACAUAUUGAUCAUUUUUUAUAUAAAAAUUGGGUUGUUACGGCGAGUUACGGAUACCCCUAAUGGACAAGAUGCGCGUGAAUGAAAUUUGUUGGCUUCAUUAUUCCAAGA